CUCAACGCCAAUCCUCUGUUGC
rnacentral:siRNA from 1 species